CUCGGUGGCGUCUGCUCGGUGGGCCGUCGGGGGUGCGGGGAGCGCGGACGCCCUCGAGGGAAGGCAGGCGGAGCGUUGGGGGGCCCGCUUCUGGAUCUUUCUCCGCCGCCGCCGGGCGACGUGCUCCUGCGGGUACCGGCUGGGCUCCUAGCACACGUUCCCGCAGGAGGCGGGCGGGUGGCCUCAUCAGUCAGGGAAGCCUUCCCUGCCUUUCCAUUAUUUGUAUUCAUAUUGAUUGGUUUAAUGCCUCUCCAGACUACAAAUGCCUCAUCUGGAAGGCUGUGGUCAUCCCAGCUUGCAGCACAAUACCUGGAGAAAAGUCCGUGCCCAAUCAGGAUUUGCUAAGCACAUGAAUGGGACAAGUAACUCUCUUAAAUGAGCAGCUACUGUCACGGAAAAGUGAAGGAAUGACGAUGGGCAGGAGGCGUAGGAAACCGGGAGAAUGCUGACCCUGACCCCACCUCCUGCAUGAAUCAAGGGUGAAUUUAUUACCUGAAAUCGAGAGCGCCUGCUGCUGGCAGAGCAGAAUGCAUGGGAGAAAACCAGACUUCCUUAAAGGCAGUGCCGCUAAAGGGAUUUUCAUGGAGGUGGAAGCUGGAAGGACAAAGGGCACAGAGUUUGGGGAAAAGAGGUAGAGGAGGCAAAAGGUAGGGAGUACCCACAGAGGGGUUGCUGCUGGGCAGUAACUUCAGGGGAGGCAGGAGACUUCCCAGAGUUUCUGAGAAUGAAUCUGCAAACAUUUCUGUUAGACGGAUCUAGCCAGGACAGUGGAAGUCCAUACGCAUGGUCUGGGAUGUUUUUCAGGCAUGCAAGUGAGUUCACAGUGUCUGUGCUGGGCAGGAUAGUGAUACUAAGACCACAGAGAUCCCAGAAGGGGGCCAGUCAUCAUGAGGCUCAUGAACAAAUUCAGCUUCCUUUCCAGUCGUCCUUUACAUCUUCUAAAAUAUUCCAUGACACAAACUCGAAUAGACAAAGUUAACUAUAAUAUACCUAUUUGAUCUGACCUUGAAGUUUGCCUUCACGUUUUAAGUUACAACCUUGGGAAGUAAGGACAAUUUCUUUUAAAAAACCAUGGAGGGGACGCCUGGACUGAAUAGCAAAGAUUUAAGGAAACUCGUCCAUUAGAUCACAAGAUGCAGAACAUUUGUAAAUGAAAACUUACAGAAUCAUGCUCGAGGAUUAGACUAAGCACAGCCUGGUCAUUCUCAUCUUUUUGCGGUGAUGAAUCACGUGCCUCACGCUCUGAAUUCUUACAGUAGUUGUGCCAACAAGAUUUAUUUGCCUGAAGAUCUUUUUCUCAGUAAAUUGCGGGAUAACCCAAACUUUCAUUUUAAUCCAGUCUGAAUUGAAAUGGUUUUAAGCUUAUUUUUAUUUUCACAUGUCUCCUCUGGUGCUACUUUUUACUUUGUGCAUGCUAUCAGAUGUUAACACAGGCCCAUGAACGUGUGGUCUGGGGACUCAUUCCCCAUCGUUAUCCUUCUGUAUUUCAGCAUUAAUAUGAUGUGUUGAUCUUUUACUGUCUAAUAUUCUUAGCUUAUUACCCCAAGCCCACAACUCAAAUUUCAUUUCUGUAUAAUUUGGCUGGGGUUUUGUUGUUGUUGUUGUUUAUUUGUUAACGUAGCUACUAAGGUUAUAACCGAGCUUUUACUGCUCUGAAAUUUAUGAAAUGAUGAGGGCAUAGUCGUUGUUUACAGCUUGGAUAAAAAUGGAGAGCCAUUUGGGUUUUGUACCAUUUCUUCUGGUAAUUUUCUCAAAGGAGUCAGCUGUGUCAAUAGUAGCUGUAAUUAGUAACUGUUUCAGCAACUGUUAUUAGUAACUGUAUCUGUUUUCUGUUGUCAUAAUAAUACUAAUAAAUACAUAACAAGUAUUGUAUGACAA